GCAUAUUUUGUACAGGGUGUUUGGUAAAGAAUGGGCCAUAGCUUAACUUAACCGUAGAUUUCUGAGCUUAAAAUAGGCCGUUCUAUCAGGUUCCAUCAGGUAAAGAGGCAAACAUAAAUGUUAUUCUAUCAGGUUCUUAAUGUGUUUUAGAUUUAAUCAUUUUAGUUGUGUUUCUUUGUAAUUUUGUGUUGUACAAAGAUUAAUUUAACAUUUUCUCUGGAAGUAUUAAUUUAGAAAGAUAAUAUGCCUCAUUGGUGUUAUGUUUUGAAGUGUGAAAUGCAAAAUAAUCGUGAUAAACUUCACUUUUACCACUUACCAUCAGUGCUACAUUUUAAGCACAAAAAUGAACUUAAUAAGUUAUCAUCUAAGAGACAACAACAAUGGUUAAAUGCAAUAAAAUGGUAGUUUUACUAGCGAAAUGAAAAUUCUCCUGUCUGCUGUAAUCAUUUUAUGUCUGGAAAAUAAGCCGACUUAACCGAUAAUAACAAUCCAGAUUGGGUUCCUUCAAUAAAUAUGGGGUGGUAUAAACACAAUGAAAUGAGUUCCCCAAAAUCUAAAAUGGAGCGGUAUCAAAGGAGAAUUAAAAGAAAAUGGUACCUACAAGAAAAAAUUGCUUUUUUUUAUUCCUAUUGAAAUGAUUUAUAAGGCACUUGGCUGUCUUAUAUUCUACAAAUACUAGGUAGGUCUAUGAUUUUACACAUUUUUCAUUAAUGAUUGUAGGUUACUGUUAUUUUAAAGUAGAUUUAGAAAAAGUGGAAAGUGAAGAAGCUAGUUUAGUAGAAGACAAGAUUUUGCCAAAUAGUAAAAACUGACAAACAGAUAUUACAAUGGAAAAAUUAACUAAUACAUUUUGUCAUUAACACACGAUUUAAAAUAUCAGCUUAAGAAACUAGCUUUAUCUUGUGAAAGUAUAGAAAAUGAUGAUGCCUAAACUAAAAAUUAUACUGGUUUAGCAAAUUACAAUGUUUUUAAAAUAGUUUUAAAGUAUAUUACGCCAUUUAUCAAAUACCAUCAAAAUACUGUUUUGUCGCCAAGUGAUUAAGUAUUGCUUACUUUAGCUAAACUAAGAUUAAACUUAGAUUAUAAAGAUUUGGGAUAUAGGUUUGGUAUUUUACCCUACUCGGUAUCAACUUAUUUCAAAAACACUUUGUAUAUAAUGUGCCUUAGGUUAAAAAAUUUUGUGUUCUGGCCUGAUAGAGACAUUUUAAAGAAAACUAUGCCAAAUUCAUUUAAAGGAUCUUUUCAUGGAAAUACUACAACUAUAAUUGACUUUUUCGAAAUAAGGACUCAAACACCUAGAAAUUUAUUAACUGCAGCACAAUCUUGGUCGAAUUAUAAUCAUAUAUUGGUAUUUUUAGGUUUCCAAAAGAUCCUGAAAGGCGUGAAAUAUGGAUAAGAUUUGUUAAUAGAGUAGUAUAGAAACCUAACAAAAAUAGUGUAUUAAGUACUUAUGUUCAAAACAUUUUUUAGGAAAAGAUAUUAACAGAACUUCACUUCCAUCUGUUCGUUUGAGAGACUGUGCUGUUCCAAUAGCUUAUGUCACACAGAAUCAGCUGAGAGAAGUGGUCUACAAAAAACCAGGAAGGGAAUGGAAUAUGUGGCUACGAAAGUCAAAAGAAAGGUUACAAAGCAAAUGUGACACAUUUUUUUUAAUAUUUAGGAAUAUCAGUAAAUUACAUUAAAAAAUGUAUGAAAAGAUUUUGUGCAAUAAAAAUGUUUAAAUUUA
rnacentral:lncRNA from 1 species